GGAAUUAUGAAUCAAUCAGAAACAAAGGAAAUUGGACCACUAGAGAUGCUGCCAUGGCUAUCAUCAAAUGCAGCCAAAGCUCUCUCUAAAUUAGAAACAAUAUCAGAAAUGGUGGGUCUGUCUUUGCCUUCCAAAUGUACACAAUGCAUUGCAGUGUAAGCCACCAAUUCCACUGCUUCUACUUCUUCACUUGCCUCUGCAGUCCCUACUCUCUUAUCCAAAAUCUUGUUCAAUUCUCCAGCCAUAAUUCCUGCUACUCCAUAGUCCACUACACUCAUUGGUGCACCUCCGUUCUCUUCGCUCUUGAAUAUCGCUCUCUUUCCUGUCAAAAGUUCUAAUAAUACC
rnacentral:misc_RNA from 1 species